rnacentral:lncRNA from 1 species
CCUGUGUCGAGAGCCUUCUUAGAGGCCGGGGAUGUUUGGUAGGAACUUCCUAUCUUUGUUGAGACGAGGUUCCUUAGGUCUUUGGUGUGGUUAGUUUUUUGUCUGUUGCCGAUGUAAUUCGUCGCUUUCCUUUUUAAUUUUCCUCCUCUUUUCGAGUGAGGGUCCCCCCCUCGCUUUUUGGGGGGUCACGCAGAAAUAUAGAGGUGCCAUUGAGGGGACUUUUCUCUUUAUCCAAUUUGAUUGGGCGGCUGAGUUUUUGUCAUCGUCGGGAAGAGGUCCUCCUUCUGUUCUUGAUGUAGUCGAUCUCAGCUCAGGUCAGGGCGAGGUUCUCAUCCUGUUCCCAACAGGGCUGUGGGGGCACAUAAGGGUCAUCGUAAGGGCCUCUCCCCCCAUCCGGUCUAAAAGAACCGGGCCUUCGACUUUGCUCAUGUUAGGGUGAGGUUCUCCUCCUGUCCCUAACAAGGCUAUGGGGGCACAUGUGGGUGCUGUUUGGCCUCCCCCCCCAUCCGGUCUAAGAGGAACCGGACCUUCGACUUUGCUCACG